UAACACGUGGGGAUCUGCCCAUGGUACGGAAUAGCUCCGGGAAACUGGAAUUAAUACCGUAUGUGCCCGCAAGGGGAAAGAUUUAUCGCCAUUGGAUGAACCCGCGUCGGAUUAGCUAGUUGGUGUGGUAAAGGCGCACCAAGGCGACGAUCCGUAGCUGGUCUGAGAGGAUGAUCAGCCACACUGGGACUGAGACACGGCCCAGACUCCUACGGGAGGCAGCAGUGGGGAAUAUUGGACAAUGGGCGCAAGCCUGAUCCAGCCAUGCCGCGUGAGUGAUGAAGGCCUUAGGGUUGUAAAGCUCUUUCGCCGACGAAGAUAAUGACGGUAGUCGGAGAAGAAGCCCCGGCUAACUUCGUGCCAGCAGCCGCGGUAAUACGAAGGGG
rnacentral:rRNA from 1 species